UUUGCGUCUGGGAGUGAGCCAGGGAGACGAAGCAUUGGCAUCGGAGUGACCUGCCCCCUCCCAAAACAGUUUUAAGGGUAAGUCUUUCCAUUUGUAGUCCAGAAAGUUUGACCAUGUGUGUAUUUCUUUAUUUCUUUGGAGGAUUUCAUGUGGGCAUAGACCCCCCCCUCCCCUUCCAUCUUAUCCGGGUAAUUUCAAGACAAACUUGACGUGGUUGCCGAGUGGAUUUAGGUGAACGUGUCGAUCCGUCUUGGGGGGGGCUGAGGGAUCUUUGUGUGAUUUUCCAGACACUCCACGAGAGAGAGAGAGAAACGAAUGAGAGCGAGCGAGGACGCAUGAGGCUGCAGUGAUGCGUAGGAGUGUUGUUCACAUGCCGGGGGAUCCUCUGCCGCGCCGCUCGGCAACAACAAGCGGGGAACACACAAGGCAGGAGGUGGACACGGACGCAAGUCAGGUGAGGAGGAAGUACAAACCUGAAGACCACGACCAGGAGGCCGAUCUCGUCGUGCACAGAUGACAUACAGACGUCCACCUGACACCCAGAGUAGCCUUUAGGACGAACCACGUGUCAAGGAGGAUACUUAAAAAUAAUGUAAACUAAAUUGUAUUUGUAUUUUUUGUGUGUGUAAGAGUGUGAGUGUGUUAUAUUCUUUCCAUUUUCAUAUGUACUAUACAUUGUGUGUAAAAGUUGCAAUGUUAUAAAGAUGACGUCACGAGUAAUCUACAUUAUAAUGUGGCAUAACUUUAUCCACUGUAUGUGUGUGUGUUGAGCUUUGGUCUCGUGCACGCGCAUCGGCUGGCACUUGUGACGCGUUUUGCGAGCUGACGCGCACGCACGCCGGCCGUGCGAGAACAUUUUUGUAGUCUUGCAUGCUUGCAGACUACGUGGCAGGUUUCACGUGACGUCGUCACAGCUCAUUUCGUUCCCAUUUUACGUUUGGUUUUUGCGCGUGCGUGCUUGUGUGUGCGUGCCAAAAGUAAUGGUAUGGCGACUGCACUUGUGUGUGUCUGCGUGAGUAAUGGGGGAGAAAUUGUGCAGACGAU